rnacentral:rRNA from 1 species
GAUGAACGCUGGCGGCGUGCUUAACACAUGCAAGUCGAACGGUGAAGCCAAGCUUGCUUGGUGGAUCAGUGGCGAACGGGUGAGUAACACGUGAGCAACCUGCCCUGGACUCUGGGAUAAGCGCUGGAAACGGCGUCUAAUACUGGAUAUGAGACGUGAUCGCAUGGUCGUGUUUGGAAAGAUUUUUCGGUCUGGGAUGGGCUCGCGGCCUAUCAGCUUGUUGGUGAGGUAAUGGCUCACCAAGGCGUCGACGGGUAGCCGGCCUGAGAGGGUGACCGGCCACACUGGGACUGAGACACGGCCCAGACUCCUACGGGUGGCUG